GAAGUUGUGGCUAAAUGGUUAAAGAGUUGGACUUGAAACCCAAAUGUCAAGGGUUUGAUUUUCAGUUCCA
rnacentral:tRNA from 1 species